rnacentral:sRNA from 1 species
CACAAACCAUAAAUCUAACUCAUCUAAACUAAAAUCUAAACUCAUCUAACCUGAGGCCAAUUAAAAGCUGAUCUCAGCGCAGUUUUAAGUGAGUGUCCGAAAGAGAGUGAUUGUUUUGCUCUCCCCAGUAGGCUAUAGCAUUCCAAAAGGCUGGACUCCAGUGUCUCUCAGCCCCACUCCGAGGCAGAAGCACCACUUUUGUUUGCCACAUGGCCUCUAGUUUGAGCAACCACAGCCGGUUAACUCUCUCUAGGAUGGAUGGAUCCUUCAGGACAGUAAGGGAGUGAAGUGAACCCCACGCCAUCUCACAGCAAGAAGCGCUGGGUGUGGGGCACACCGGGGUGCCUGGUGACACCUGUUUCUGUGCCCGACCUCACGGUCGCUCUUCUCUUUCACGAUAUUUGUGGGCGACGCUUUGCUUCCUAAAGCAUUAGGGAUUAAGACUGACCAUUGCAACCUGAUGUGACCUGGAGCUCGAGGACGAAAAGCGGAGCGGCACCGGAGGACUUCACAGAGGGAAUCCAGAACCACGUUGAAGAUGAGCUUUGGAGGAAUUAUUUAGACUUGGUUCCAUGUGGCGGAAAGAUCUGUACACUGCAGGGUGACACCAAUCUCUGGGAUCCUAGACUGGACACACCGUGAUGGAUCAUACCAGCAUCUUGAAGCCAAAAUAAACUUCAUUUCCCUCAAGAUUUUUGUUGUUUUUGUUUUUUUUUCCCCUGGGCAUUUUGCCCCAGUAAUAGCUAAACAAUUAAGGCAUAGCCUCAGUGAAGAAGCCACGAAAAUUGAAGAUUAAAAGAAAGAGGGCAUGGAUAAGUGCAUAAGAUUUCUCUGCAGAUGAGAGGAAGAGAAAAUGCAUGAGUCCAUGGGGACCGCAGACAGCCGGCUUGUGAGGUGUGGGGGCGUAUUUUUCUCAGUAGGGUGUCAUUUGUAUAGGAUGAUUCAUGGAGCAGUGCUACUCAGACAGACUUUACCAGUCACUACUCACGUCCUACUUACACUACAGGCAUUCUUCCCUGUUACUGUCUGAGACGAGAGUAAAGGGAAAAGGCAAUCUGGUGAUGUUGGACAAUAGUAAUGCUCAUCUACAGUCCCCAUGUUUGUUUCAUAUUCUGGGAACAUUGUGACACAUUAAAUUUUGUUGGAAUUCAUUUUGAGAAUACAAAGUAUACUUAUUUCAACCUUACCUAAAUAUCUGCCUUCUUUGACUGUCUGACAGAUGCAAGUCACUCUAAAAAUUAAAAGGCCCUAUCCCUGGCAUUGCAGACUACCGAGCAAGAUUUCAUAUUUGUCUGACAAAUGUCUAUUUAUGUCAGCUAACAUCAGUUUUGUUAUCACCCUCUGUGUUUCAUAUAUUCUAAUGAUAUGAAUAGAGGUAUGUAUAUCAAU